rnacentral:rRNA from 1 species
CAAUAGCGUAUAUUAAAGUUGUUGCAGUUAAAAAGCUCGUAGUUGGAUUUCUGGUGGGAGCGAUCGGUCUGGCGCUUAGCGCGAGUACUUGCAUCGUCUCCGGCCAUCCUUGGGGAGAGUCUGUCUGGCAUUAGGUUGUCGGGCAGAGGAUCCUCAUCGUUUACUGUGAAAAAAUUAGAGUGUUCAAAGCAGGCUUAUGCCGUUGAAUAUAUUAGCAUGGAAUAAUAAGAUAGGACUUUGGUACUAUUUUGUUGGUUUGCGCACCAAAGUAAUGAUUAAUAGGGACAGUUGGGGUAUUCGUAUUCCGUUGUCAGAGGUGAAAUUCUUGGAUUUACGGAAGACGAACUACUGCGAAAGCAUUUACCAAGGAUGUUUUCAUUAA